UUUCCGUAGGUGAACCAGCGGAAGGAUCAUUAUUGUAUAACCGAGGUGCGAGGGCUGUCGCUGACCCGAAAGGUCGUGCACGCCCGAGUGCCCUCACACACAUCCAUCUCACCCCUAUGUGCACCACCGCGUGGGUCCCCCUUUGGCUUGUUCGGAGGGGGGCUUACGUCUUCACACAAACUUUGUAUGCAGUGUAGAAUGUAUUUUUUGUUUUUGCGAUCACGCAAUCAAUACAACUUUCAACAACGGAUCUCUUGGCUCUC
rnacentral:misc_RNA from 1 species